GCCUGGGUGGCUCAGUCGGUUAAGCACAUGACUUCGGCUCAGGUCAUGAUCUCCCAGUUUAUGGGUUCGAGCCCCGUGUCGGGCU
rnacentral:tRNA from 1 species